GCUCUGUAGCGCCUCCGGGCACUUGGCGAUCGUUUUAUAAAAAAUUGCCAACAUUUUUCAGUUAUUGUUUGGUAAAUAAUUGGUGCUAUGGAAUCUGUACAACCCGAGAGGGAGGAAGUUUUGAGGAAUUUCAAUUUUUACAACUUCGAGGUACAAUUGUUGUCGACCACCAUUGUUGAAAGGAAGGCACUGGAAUAUAAUCUUUUCUAUCUAGGAAUGUGCUUUUGCACUAUUGGUUACAAAACUUUGUUUUCAAUUGAACACGUGGAGGCUCCAGCCUCCAAGUUUCAAUAAUCAUUUACUAAAAUGAAAGCUGAUGUUGGAGUGAUAAAUCAGUCA